rnacentral:rRNA from 1 species
UACGUAGGCAGCAAGCGUUGUUCGGAAUUACUGGGCGUAAAGAGUGUGUAGGCGGUGCUCUAAGUUCGGUGUGAAAUCUCCCGGCUCAACUGGGAGGGUGCGCCGGAAACUGGAAUGCUUGAGCGUGGGAGAGGAAAGCGGAAUUCCUGGUGUAGCGGUGAAAUGCGUAGAUAUUAGGAGGAACACCUGCGGUGUAGACGGCUUUCUGGACCAUUGCUGACGCUGAGACACGAAAGCGUGGGUAGCAAACAGG